rnacentral:rRNA from 1 species
ACAAUGGAGAGUUUGAUCCUGGCUCAGGAUGAACGCUAGCUACAGGCUUAACACAUGCAAGUCGAGGGGAAACGACAUCGAAAGCUUGCUUUCGAUGGGCGUCGACCGGCGCACGGGUGAGUAACGCGUAUCCAACCUGCCCACCACUUGGGGAUAACCUUGCGAAAGUAAGACUAAUACCCAAUGAUAUCUCU